GAUGAACGCUCGCGGCGUUCCUAACACAUGCAAGUCGAGCGGGGGAAGGUAGCUUGCUACAUUACCUAGCGGCGGACGGGUGAGUAAUGCUUAGGAAUCUGCCUAUUAGUCGGGGACAACAUUCCGAAAGGAAUGCUAAUACCGCAUACGCCCUACGGGGGAAAGCAGGGGACAUUCGGACCUUGCGCUAAUAGAUGAGCCUAAGUCAGAUUAGCUAGUUGGUGGGGUAUGGGCCUACCAAGGCUACGAUCGGUAGCGGGUCGGCGAGGAUGGUCCGCCACACUGGGAAUGAGACACGACCCAGACUCCAACGGGAGGCAGCAGUGGGGAAUAUUGGACUAUGUGCUAAAGCCUGAUCCAGCCAUGCCGCGUGUGUUAAGAAGGCCUUUUGGUUGUAAAGCAAUUUAAGCGAGGAGGAGGCUACUGAGAUUGAUACUCUUGGAUAGUGGACGGUUCUCGCAGAAUAAGCACCGGCUAACUCUGUGCCAGCAGCCGCAGUAA
rnacentral:rRNA from 1 species